rnacentral:misc_RNA from 1 species
CACGGAAAUGCUAAAAUUUCGAAACCUUGAGUCUUGUACUUCUCAUAGAGGUGUGAAAGCUCGGUGUAAUUCGACGAUGUCAACCCACAUCUUGAAGCCACAUUCACAAUCAACAAAACCUUCCCCUUAAACUUGCUAAGCGGCACCUCCUUCCCAUCAAUAUCCUUCACCGAGAAAUCAUAUAUGCUCUUCUCCGUGGCGGCGGUGGCGUAGGCCACCCCAGCCGUCCGGCUCAGCUUCUUCGCAAAGACGGGCGCUCUCGGGAGCUGGGGGGAGAGUCUCAAGCUCCAGAACGG